rnacentral:rRNA from 1 species
GGGCUCCUACGGGGGGCAGCAGUGGGGAAUAUUGGGCAAUGGGCGCAAGCCUGACCCAGCAACGCCGCGUGAAGGAAGAAGGCUUUCGGGGUGUAAACUUCUUUUCUCAGGGACGAAGCAAGUGACGGUACCUGAGGAAUAAGCCACGGCUAACUACGUGCCAGCAGCCGCGGUAAUACGUAGGUGGCAAGCGUUAUCCGGAUUUACUGGGUGUAAAGGGCGUGUAGGCGGGAAAGCAAGUCAGAUGUGAAAACCACGGGCUCAACCUGGGGCCUGCAUUUGAAACUGUUUUUCUUAAGUACGGG